GCGGUAUUGGUCUACCGGCAUGAUAUGACCUUGCCAAGGUUGAGGAAGGGGUUCGAUUCCCCUAUACCGCACCA
rnacentral:tRNA from 1 species